UACGGGGGGAGCAAGCGUUGUUCGGAUUUACUGGGCGUAAAGGGCGCGUAGGCGGCCACUGCAAGUCGACUGUGAAAUCUCCCGGGCUUAACCCGGAAAGGUCAGCCGAUACUGCGGGGCUAGAGUGCAGAAGGGGCAACUGGAAUUCUCGGUGUAGCGGUGAAAUGCGUAGAUAUCAGGAGGAAUACCUAUGGCGAAAGCAGGUAUCUGGGCCAUCACUGACGCUGAGCUGCGAAAGCUAGGGGAGCAAACAGG
rnacentral:rRNA from 1 species